rnacentral:rRNA from 1 species
AUAAGGAGUCGGACCUGCCCAGUGAAAUAUUUUAAACGGCCGCGGUACUCUGACCGUGCAAAGGUAGCAUAAUCAUUUGCCCUAUAAUUGAGGGCUAGUAUGAAUGGUUUGACAAGAAUAAAGCUGUCUCUUUAUAAUUAUAUAGAAUUUUAUUUUUAGGUGAAGAAACCUAAAUAAAAUUAAUAGACAAGAAGACCCUAUCGAGCUUUAAAUAAAUUAGUAGGUUCAUGGAAAUAUUUAUAAAACAACAUCUAUUAAAAAUUUUGGUUGGGGCGACAAAGGAACAUAAAAAGCUUCUUUUAAAACAGUAUAAACAAACAAGUUUUGAUCCAAUAAAUUUUGAUUAAAGAAAUUAGUUACCGUAGGGAUAACAGCAUUAUCUUUUUUGAGAGCUCAUAUCGAAAAAAAGGUUUG